GGUUGCGAUCAUACAAGCACUGAUGUUCCGGUUCCCAUCAAAACUCCACAACUAAGCGUGCUUGGGCGAGAGCUUGGUUUUCAAAAGUGUGUGGUGAUGCGAUGC
rnacentral:rRNA from 2 species